GAUGAACGCUGGCGGCGUGCCUAAUACAUGCAAGUCGAACGGGGAGUAGCAAUACUCUUUGUGGCGAACGGGUGAGUAACGCGUUGGUACCUGCCCCGAAGCGGGGGAUAACGGACCGAAAGGUCCGCUAAUACCCCAUGUGCUCGGUAACGAGUAAAGGUGAAAACCACUUUGGGAGGGGCAUGCGUCCCAUCAGCUAGUUGGUAAGGUAACGGCUUACCAAGGCGAUGACGGGUAGGGGACCUGAGAGGGUGGCCCCCCACAAUGGAACUGAAACACGGUCCAUACACCUACGGGUGGCAGCAGUAGGGAAUAUUGGUAAUGGGCGCAAGCCUGAACCAGCAACGCCGCGUGUGCGAUGACGGCCUUCGGGUUGGAAAGCACUUUUGACGGGGACGAGGAAGGACGGUACCGGUCGAAUCAGCCUCGGCUAACUACGUG
rnacentral:rRNA from 1 species